CUCCGCGGGGCGCGGGCGGCCGCGGCAUCCCGGACCGGAUCGCUGCGGAGCGGAGCCGGAGGCCGAACGAGCGCGCGCCCCCUCCCGCUGGCGCUCCCGUGGCGAGCCAGGGAGGUGUCCACGCCGACCGGCGCACUGCCCUAACCCCGCCGCCGCCCCCGGCCCCAGCUGCCGCCUCGGCCUGAAGGGGUCGCGGAGGGGAACCUCCUGAAAGUCUCCCUGGAAAGUUUUGCUCCAGGCUGCCUGGGGACGGGACGAGUGACCUCAGCAGUCUCCGGACCGGACUCGCUCCCUCCCUCGGCCCACCCUAAAUUGAGGUCACAUUCACUGGAAUGAACGGUUUUCGAACUGUAAUUGAAGUCUGUCAAAAGAUGCUUGUGAUCCCUAAUGCCCCGUGUGUCUUUCUAGUGUCAUUUAUUCACUCAACAAACAGCCAGCUCAAAUCUCGCGGCUGCACUCUGGGCACCAGCCACCGCCUCGCCCUUCAAACCGCUGACCGGCUGGCUCAUGGGGAGCCAGAUGCCGGGCCAGUGUGGAAUUGGGGCUCGGAUCUCUUUAGUGCUCCAGUGUGCUGGUCAGGCCUUCCCCCUUCAGCCGGUCUGGUCCCGUAAGAAAUGUGGCGAGUCCUGCAAGGCAUUGCUGGGUGGUGGCCUGCAUGAGCCAAAGUUCCAUCGACACACGUGGGAUACACAGGCAAGGGAAUAGCGCUCAGCCUUGAAAAGGAAGCCAACUGACACCACGUGGAGGAAGCUCGCAGCCACAGAAAGACACGUCCCGUCCCGAGAGUGGUCAAGGUCUUAGACACGGGCAGUGGAAGGGUGGACCUCAGGGGCUGGGUGAAGCGGUAGAGAAUGGAGAGCUAAUGUGGACAGAGUUUGGGUUUUGCAAGAUUAAAGGGGUUUUGGUGCUGCAUGGUGGUGAUGGUUGCCCAGUACUGUGACUGUACUCAACACCACCGCACUAUACAUUUAAGACAGUUAAGCCGGUGAAAUUCGCGUGGUCUAUUUUACAGUGGGAUCUAUAUUUUUAAGAGCAAGGGAUUUACAUGCAACCUCCAAGUUUCUUUCUUCUGGCUCAUCUGAGGGGACUUCUUGCAUUUUAAUGCCAGGUCUGUUUGAGGACAAGUGGUCCAUGUGUACCUCCAGGCCCUUCUGGAUUAUGACGCGUGAAGACUUAUGCACAACCUAAGUUAUAGGAAUCUUUUCCCGAGGACCAAGAACCUGCGUGUGCUAACACCAGGAGCUCACAGGGCUGAUGCCAGGUGACCCUGCCAAGUCCGGAACCCCAUCAUUUGCAAUUCCUUCCUCCAAUAGCCAGCGGCUUGAUAUACUGACAGAGUCGGCAGAGGGCAUAAGGAAAGGGCCAGUAAGGACCACUGAGGACAGUGGGUUCUUGCUCUGUCCUAGUCUAGAGGGCACGCUGAACCUGGUCCAGAAAGCACGUGCUCAAGAAAGGAGCAAUGAACGGCUGGCCGGGGAGAGCCUUGUCAACCUUUGGGAUCCAAGAUACGCAGGCUCUUACCCUGUUAGAAGCCACUGGAGCUGGCUGUGGAAACAGGAAGGAACAGAAAUUAACUCCAAGGCACUAAACCAUCGACAAGGAGGCCGAAUUGGGAGGUGACCAUUAAGGCUGUGUUGGAAAGAGGCAGUGAGCUAUCUGGAGAAUGAACUCAUUAAAAAAAAGAAAGAAAGACAAGACAAGAUAUGGGAACACAUUAUUUCUCCAAGAAGAUACAUCGAUCACAGACAAGCACAGGAAAAGAUGCUCAACUUCAUUGCUUGUUAGAAGCCAGCUAAAACGACAGGAAGAUACUACUGGACACCUAUUAAAAUUACUUAAAGGAAAUGAUGAAGCCAUCUGUUGUUGCCAACGAGGAGGGGUGGCAGGCCCCCCGGCAUAGCGGGUGUUUGAGAAAACGGUCUGGCGGGUUCUCGUGGAGGUCAGCAGACUGACCUGAUGGCUGGCAGUCCCAUCGCUAGGCUUGAACCCAAGUGAAGCGAAAACUUGUGUUGACACAAGGACCUGUACACAAAUACUCACCACUGAGCACUGGAAACACCCCAACCGCCCAGAUGAACCUCAGCCGGGAACGGGGUAAACAAACUGCCGUACAGUCACGUGAUGGGCUUUGCGGCCCCAGGAAAAGGAGCAAAGUGUGAAACGACACGGAGGAACUCCCCCGAUGCGCUGCGUGUGCUUUCUCUUCUGGGACAUUCUGGGCGAAGUACAACUCAAGAGAUGGAAGCAGGUGAGUGGGGGCUGGGGGGCUGGGGAGAGGCUGAGCAUAAAAUGACACGUGGGAAUUUUUUUUGUUGGGGGGGGUUGGUGAUGGUGGUGGCAACUGUGUGACUCUGUGUGUCUGUCCAAAGUAGCAAAACUGUACACUCAGAAAAGUGAAUUUUACUGUUAUGUAAAUAGUACCUUUUUACAAAUUGUGAAACAACUCUACAGAGCUUGUGUUUACAGACCCCCGUCAAGGAUUAAGAACCAGGCUGCCCAAUUCAGAAACCAUGAGCCACGACUGGCUGUCUAUAUGUAUAUUCUAAUUAAAAUGAAGGAAAAUGAAACUUUCCGCUCCUCCGUGGGCAUGGGCCAUGUUUCCAGUGCAGGAUCUGGACAGCUGCGUGGCUGCCGUGCUGAUCGCUGCAGAUAAAGAACAUUCCCAUCAUUACAGAAAGUUCUACGGGCUGCGCUGCUCCGAGGGCGGGGUGAGGCUGGGCUGCUGGCUUCUGGUUGCUCUUCUCUUUAUCUUUCAAAGUCCGGAUUCACGCCCUGCGCAGAGUAGCUGCACAAAACCCACAAAGAAAGGCCGGUGGGGAGCCCAGGCAGCUCUGAGGGGUUUUCACUUGGUCUUGGGGCAGAUACGUGCAAAGAAGCAGAGCAGAGCCCCGGCAUGAGACAGGAGGCUGAGGGAACCUUCAGCCCCAGAGCUGGCUGGUGGGGCCGAGGAGGAGAAGCCUCCGAGUUUGGAAGCUGCUGGUCCACACCAGCCUCCUGGAGGGGUGGGAACUCUCUUAACAUCUGUCAAAUUCCCGGGGAACACAGACCACCGUCUUCUCAUCCUUUUCCUGUCUGCCGAGUGUCUCUUCCUGCUGCUAUCAUAUCCUCCUGGGAUCCUUCCUGCGGCCCCGGGGCUGCUUCCUGCCUCUUUGCUGAGUUCCGAGGGCCUCCCGUCACGCAGCCACGAGACCUCGGGCCCUUACUGGACGGGACUGCAAAAGACAGCCAGAGAGAAACAGAGAGCGCGAGAGACAGAACAGUCCUCCAUCGGAGCCCUGCCUUGCGGGGUUUGAGAUGGCAGCCCAAGAACCCAAGAGAUGUGAGCCUGGCUGCGUGCAGAGCUCCCUGGGAGCAGGCUGACUUGUUUUUCUUUUACAGCCUACCACCCUGUCCUUCCUGAAACACCAGUUCGGAAAAGCUGUGUCUGACUUCGGCAACACAGGACGAAACCAAGGCUCGGGUGGAAAGUUCUCUUGGCGGGAUACCCUGGUACUGGCACUUGGGAAAAGGGGCCGGCUGGGUGUGACUCAUCGACUGCUGUGUGAUCAGUGGCUUCCACAGGCCGUGGCUUCCGUCAGAAACACACAUGUCACCUCCCAGUUUCUGUAGGUCAGGGACUGGGGAAUGAUUUAGCCAGGCGGUUCUGGCUUGAGGGUCUCUGUCAAGAUGUCGCUCCCCAGCUGGGGAGGUCCUCCCCACAGGCGGGGUGGGGGCAGGGUGGCUGGCUUCCCUUAGGAGGAAGCAUCCAAGAGAGAGCAGAGGGAGGGCCGCACAGUCUCUGUAUGACCCUCGGAAGCCCCACCCUGCCGUGUCGACCACAUCCCCGUGGUUACAAGGUCAGGCCAGCUCAGUACGGGAGGGCACCCCCCGGGGAGCACUCUGGACGGAUUACGAGAGCAUUGCACGAUGGACAUGGCCAGGGUAGGUAUUUUCUUCUGAUCUUCACCAUGAAGACCUGAUGGGGUGGGGAAACUCGCGAAAGUCUCAGGACGUCCCCAGGAUCGAGACUUUUCAGCUCCCAGACGUGUCCAGUGUCGUCGAGGGGUGGCUUUCCUGACCCCUGCGGGUUCCCCCUCUGCUUCCUGUUCUCGGGCUUGCACUCUGGGCAGCUGUGGCUCUCUGCGUCCACUGCCUGUCUCCCGGUGUGUGGACAGAGGUCUGCCCUGGGGCCUCGCUUCUCGGAGGGGUCUGAGAAGAGCCGUUCAUUUCCUGCGUGCUCGCCUUUCUCGCGCAGUGUGGAUGGAACCGUGGUGUGUCUAUGGCCCUGGCACGCGGGACUGGGAGCGGGAAGUGAGGAUAAGUGAUGGUUCAGCAGCUCUGUUUCUGCUUCUCAGCAAAGGUUUGAGCGUCCACCCCCAUCGCAGACGGCUCGAUCCCCUAAGAGCUCGAGUGCUAGCUCUUCUGGAGAGAGGUCUGAAGGGCCCCGUGGAUCACCUCUGCACCUGGUGAACAGGGUCCCCCCAGCUUCCCGGCCUCAGGUCAGAGCCCGGACAGGGAAGCACUACGGCAUGGCGAUGCGGUGGCCGUUCUAAGGGUUCGCGUUCCCCGACAUGUGCAGGAAUGCGUGAGGGACAGCUUCCAGCCCCUGAGUUUCCAACAUGCAGCCACCGGUCCCACGCAGCCACUGAGCAUGUGAAAUGUGGCUGGUCCAGAGAUAUGCUGAAAGUGUCAAGUACAC